GGCUGAUGAUGUUAUGACGUAUUUGCUAUCUGAAGGUUGCAUGACGUUAUCUUUACCACCACGCAAUUCUGAGGCC
rnacentral:snoRNA from 1 species